rnacentral:rRNA from 1 species
UACAUGGGGUGCAAACGUUGCUCGGAAUUAUUGGGCGUAAAGCGCGCGUAGGCGGUUACUCAAGUCGGAUGUGAAAGCCCUCGGCUUAACUGAGGAAGUGCACCCGAAACUGAGUAGCUAGAGUACCAAAGAGGGUCGCGGAAUUCCCGGUGUAGAGGUGAAAUUCGUAGAUAUCGGGAGGAACACCGGUGGCGAAGGCGGUUGCCUGGAGCUUUGCUGACGCUGAGGCGCGAAAGCGUGGGGAGCGAUCCGG